GUGUUCAUGAACGAGCAGGGAAAGCUCCCAUGGAGCCAAAACCCUAAACUUCAUAAAAUCUCCAAAUUGAAAGGCUAAACGAAGCCCAAAUUCACAACCGAACGUGAAUUAACGAUCACCUUCACAAGGGGAUCAUAAGGAAUCAUGUCAAGAUGGAUGGGAGCGUUGAAGGCUAACGGGCUACGAAUACUCAAUCAAAUAAGCGAACGCAAAUACGGGCGCGCAAGGUUAUACAUGUUUGGAUGUUUCAUCAUGAAGUGUAUGCGGUUGAAGAUCGAGUCAAGAUAUGGAUUGUAUGUGGGUGUGUAUGUAGUCACUUAAAUUGAGACAUGUAUGUUAGUUUUGGAUUAAUUUAUAAAAAGAGAUUAAUGUAUUUAAAUGAAAGAAAGAAUAUCAUGAAGGAAAUUUUAGGUA